AGCGAACGCUGGCGGCAGGCCUAACACAUGCAAGUCGAACGAACCUUUCGGGGUUAGUGGCGGACGGGUGAGUAACACGUGGGAACGUGCCUUUAGGUUCGGAAUAACUCAGGGAAACUUGUGCUAAUACCGAAUGUGCCCUUCGGGGGAAAGAUUAAUCGCCUUUAGAGCGGCCCGCGUCUGAUUAGCUAGUUGGUUGAGGUAAUGGCUCACCAAAGCGACGAUCAGUAGCUGGUCUGAGAGGAUGAUCAGCCACAUUGGGACUGAGACACGGCCCAAACUCCUACGGGAGGCAGCAGUGGGGAAUCUUGCGCAAUGGGCGAAAGCCUGACGCAGCCAUGCCGCGUGAAUGAUGAAGGUCUUAGGAUUGUAAAAUUCUUUCACCGGGGACGAUAAUGACGGUACCCGGAGAAGAAGCCCCGGCUAACUUCGUG
rnacentral:rRNA from 1 species